ACACGACUACAUUAGAUACCCCUGUAGUCCUAGCCGUAAACGAUACUCGCUAGGUGUCGGCCACGGUGCGACCGUUGUCGGUGCCGUAGGGAAGCCGUGAAGCGAGCCACCUGGGAAGUACGGCCGCAAGGCUGAAACUUAAAGGAAUUGGCGGGGGAGCACAACAACGGGUGGAGCUUGCGGUUUAAUUGGAUUCAACGCCGGAAAUCUUACCGGGACCGACAGCAACAUGAAGGCCAGGCUGAAGACUUUGCCGGAUUAGCUG
rnacentral:rRNA from 1 species